AUGAACGCUGGCGGCGUGCCUAAUACAUGCAAGUCGAGCGAACAGAUGAGGAGCUUGCUCCUCUGACGUUAGCGGCGGACGGGUGAGUAACACGUGGAUAACCUACCUAUAAGACUGGGAUAACUUCGGGAAACCGGAGCUAAUACCGGAUAAUAUAUUGAACCGCAUGGUUCAAUAGUGAAAGACGGUUUUGCUGUCACUUAUAGAUGGAUCCGCGCCGCAUUAGCUAGUUGGUAAGGUAACGGCUUACCAAGGCAACGAUGCGUAGCCGACCUGAGAGGGUGAUCGGCCACACUGGAACUGAGACACGGUCCAGACUCCUACGGGAGGCAGCAGUAGGGAAUCUUCCGCAAUGGGCGAAAGCCUGACGGAGCAACGCCGCGUGAGUGAUGAAGGUCUUCGGAUCGUAAAACUCUGUUAGUAGGGAAGAACAAAUGUGUAAGUAACUAUGCACGUCUUGACGGUACCUAAUCAGAAAGCCACGGCUAACUACGUG
rnacentral:rRNA from 1 species